rnacentral:lncRNA from 1 species
AUAUAUAUAUAUAUAUAUAUAGAGAGAGAGAGAGAGUUGAGCUAAAAUACUAUCGGUAGCAAACGAGCUCCGUUGCCAGCUAUUUGUUUUCGAUGAUGAAGCCUUCAAAUCGACGAUCAGCAUCGUUGAACAUGAUCUAUACCACUUGAAGUGUUUAGAAAUUAAAUUUUAUACAUUUUCGAUAUUAUUCUCUUAUCCAUCGAGUGGACACAAAAAUGAACGGCUGAGAAUGAAUAUUGUUUAAGAAAUGAUGAUAGGAGUCUUGUAGUCAAGAUCAAGAGUAUAUAUCUUGUUUUAAAUAGCUUAAAGAAUUUUCUAACAAAAAUUCAAUUGAUUUGAAUAUCUUUAUCCCAUUAAACGAGAAAAUGCCUCAUAUCGACCAUUAAACGAGAAAAUGUCUCAUAUCGACCAUUAAAAUUAUAAAUUUUGAAACACUUUGAUGAUUAGGCAAAUGAUGUCGAAAAGAUUUGAAAUUUGAUUUCUAGACACUUCAAUUGGUAUAGAUUAUAUUCAAUGAUGCUGAUCGUCGAUUUGGAGGCUUUAUCAUCGAAAAUAAAUAGGUGACAACAGAACUCGUUUGUUAUCAAUAGUAUUCUAGCUCAACUCUAUAUAUAUAUAUAUAGAGAGAGAGAGAGAGAGAGUGUGUGUGUAUGUGUUUUUAUAUUUUACUCCAUCGAUACUAAAAAACUGUAGAAAAUCUCUCUAAAAUUUUGCGUUUUUAUCGCUUAAUUCCCUAAAAUAUAACUUCAAACAUCAACUAAUCAUGUUUACAUAUUUUUUUUUCCUAUCCCAUUAUGCAAUUUAUAACUAUUUCUUCUCCAUUUUACGACAGGCAAAUUGACGAUCAAGAAUCAGCGGUAAACAGAUUAAAUUAAAGAGAAGAAAAAAAAUGCCUUCUAAAAAUAAAAGAUGUAGGAAAGAAGGUGAUCAUUUUCAUUUUUUUCACCUGUAAAUUAAACUGUUACUGAACCUUCUAUUUUCUGUAUAUAAUACAUACGGUUUAUAUUUAUAAUUAUAAUUCAACAUUUUUUAAUGACUUAUGAAUUACAA